GACGUAGGGCGCGAGCGUUGUCCGGAUUUAUUGGGCGUAAAGAGCUCGUAGGCGGCUUGUCGCGUCGUCCGUGAAAACUUGGGGCUCAACCCCAAGCUUGCGGUCGAUACGGGCAGGCUAGAGUUCGGUAGGGGAGACUGGAAUUCCUGGUGUAGCGGUGAAAUGCGCAGAUAUCAGGAGGAACACCGGUGGCGAAGGCGGGUCUCUGGGCCGAUACUGACGCUGAGGCGCGAAAGCCAGGGGAGCGAACGGG
rnacentral:rRNA from 1 species